rnacentral:rRNA from 1 species
UGCAAGUCGAGCGGUAAGGCCCUUUCGGGGGUACACGAGCGGCGAACGGGUGAGUAACACGUGGGUGACCUGCCCUCCACUCUGGGAUAAGCCCGGGAAACUGGGUCUAAUACCGGAUAGGACCACUGAUCGCAUGGUUGGUGGUGGAAAGUUUUUUCGGUGGGGGAUGGGCCCGCGGCCUAUCAGCUUGUUGGUGGGGUGAUGGCCUACCAAGGCGGUGACGGGUAGCCGGCCUGAGAGGGCGACCGGCCACACUGGGACUGAGACACGGCCCAGACUCCUACGGGAGGCAGCAGUGGGGAAUAUUGCGCAAUGGGCGGAAGCCUGACGCAGCGACGCCGCGUGGGGGAUGACGGCCUUCGGGUUGUAAACCUCUUUCGCCAGGGACGAAGAGCAAUUGACGGUACCUGGAGAAGAAGCACCGGCCAACUACGUGCCAGCAGCCGCGGUAACACGUAGGGUGCGAGCGUUGUCCGGAAUUAUUGGGCGUAAAGAGCUCGUAGGCGGUGUGUCGCGUCGGCCGUGAAAACUUGGGGCUUAACUCUGAGCGUGCGGUCGAUACGGGCAUCACUUGAGUUCGGCAGGGGAGACUGGAAUUCCUGGUGUAGCGGUGAAAUGCGCAGAUAUCAGGAGGAACACCGGUGGCG